CCUACGGGAGGCAGCAGUGGGGAAUAUUGCGCAAUGGGCGAAAGCCUGACGCAGCGGCGCCGCGUGAGGGAUGAAGGUCCUCCGAUCGUAAACCUCUGUCAGCAGGGAAGAACGGUCACUGUGCUAAUCAGCAGUGAAUUGACGGUACCUGCAAAGGAAGCACCGGCUAACUCCGUGCCAGCCGCCGCGGUAAGACGGAGGGUGCGAGCGUUAAUCGGAUUUACUGGGCGUAAAGGGCUCGUAGGCGGUAUGUCAAGUCAAGGGUGAAAUCCCCGGGCUCAACGGGGGAACUGACUUUGAAACUGGCAAACUGGAGUGUGUGAGAGGAUAGUGGAAUUCCAGGUGUAGGAGUGAAAUCCGUAGAUAUCUGGAGGAACAUCAGUGGCGAGGGCGACUAUCUGGCACAUAACUGACGCUGAGGAGCGAAAGCGUGGGUAGCAAACAGGAUUAGAUACCCUUGUAGUC
rnacentral:rRNA from 1 species